AUAGGGCAGAAAGCCUUUUGGGUGAUAUUUAUAUAUUUUCACACAAUAUUUCUAGGUCCCUAAAUGAAUCAUGAAGCAUUAUAUAGAACCAAAAAAAUGUAUUUUCUUACAUUAUCUCUUAAUUUAAUUUCAUAAAUCUCUAGUAAAUAUUGUAGGUAACUACAUUUCAGUAUGAGAAUUCACCUCAACAGGAAGUCUUUAUAGAGGGCUUAAUCUUCAUUAGCCAUAUAUUACCAAGUUCAGACUUAUAUAAUGAACGGGUAGUUGGCAGACAUUCGCUCUGUAAGACAAAGCAAUAGCGUUUUUUCUCCCUACCAACAAAAAGGCAGAGUCCCUACUUUUAACAACCAGGGCUUUUAGAAACCACACAGUAUUUCCUGGGGUACAUGAAAUAAAAAAACCAUAGGGCUGGGGAGAGCCUAGCCUCCCCAUUUACACUGAGCUGCUUGAUGAGGCAACCCUUUCACU
rnacentral:lncRNA from 1 species